rnacentral:rRNA from 1 species
CGAGUUAUCUGAACCUUCGGGGGACGAUAACGGCGUCGAGCGGCGGACGGGUGAGUAAUGCCUAGGAAAUUGCCCUGAUGUGGGGGAUAACCAUUGGAAACGAUGGCUAAUACCGCAUGAUGCCUACGGGCCAAAGAGGGGGACCUUCGGGCCUCUCGCGUCAGGAUAUGCCUAGGUGGGAUUAGCUAGUUGGUGAGGUAAGGGCUCACCAAGGCGACGAUCCCUAGCUGGUCUGAGAGGAUGAUCAGCCACACUGGAACUGAGACACGGUCCAGACUCCUACGGGAGGCAGCAGUGGGGAAUAUUGCACAAUGGGCGCAAGCCUGAUGCAGCCAUGCCGCGUGUGUGAAGAAGGCCUUCGGGUUGUAAAGUACUUUCAGUCGUGAGGAAGGUGGUGUAGUUAAUAGCUGCAUUAUUUGACGUUAGCGACAGAAGAAGCACCGGCUAACUCCGUGCCAGCAGCCGCGGUAAUACGGAGGGUGCGAGCGUUAAUCGGAAUUACUGGGCGUAAAGCGCAUGCAGGUGGUUUGUUAAGUCAGAUGUGAAAGCCCGGGGCUCAACCUCGGAAUAGCAUUUGAAACUGGCAGACUAGAGUACUGUAGAGGGGGGUAGAAUUUCAGGUGUAGCGGUGAAAUGCGUAGAGAUCUGAAGGAAUACCGGUGGCGAAGGCGGCCCCCUGGACAGAUACUGACACUCAGAUGCGAAAGCGUGGGGAGCAAACAGGAUUAGAUACCCUGGUAGUCCACGCCGUAAACGAUGUCUACUUGGAGGUUGUGGCCUUGAGCCGUGGCUUUCGGAGCUAACGCGUUAAGUAGACCGCCUGGGGAGUACGGUCGCAAGAUUAAAACUCAAAUGAAUUGACGGGGGCCCGCACAAGCGGUGGAGCAUGUGGUUUAAUUCGAUGCAACGCGAAGAACCUUACCUACUCUUGACAUCCAGAGAACUUUCCAGAGAUGGAUUGGUGCCUUCGGGAACUCUGAGACAGGUGCUGCAUGGCUGUCGUCAGCUCGUGUUGUGAAAUGUUGGGUUAAGUCCCGCAACGAGCGCAACCCUUAUCCUUGUUUGCCAGCGAGUAAUGUCGGGAACUCCAGGGAGACUGCCGGUGAUAAACCGGAGGAAGGUGGGGACGACGUCAAGUCAUCAUGGCCCUUACGAGUAGGGCUACACACGUGCUACAAUGGCGCAUACAGAGGGCGGCCAACUUGCGAAAGUGAGCGAAUCCCAAAAAGUGCGUCGUAGUCCGGAUUGGAGUCUGCAACUCGACUCCAUGAAGUCGGAAUCGCUAGUAAUCGUGGAUCAGAAUGCCACGGUGAAUACGUUCCCGGGCCUUGUACACACCGCCCGUCACACCAUGGGAGUGGGCUGCAAAAGUAAGUAGGUAGU